rnacentral:lncRNA from 1 species
ACUCAUGGUUUGUGGAAGCCCUAAUGAUUAGCAAACACUAAUUUUAAGCGAGAAUUGAAAUGUGGUUUCAAUUCACAAUCGAUCGUUAAGAGUAACAAUCGCCCACUACCUCGCUGAAUGGAACCUAAUGGAUCGUACACCGAGUAAGGAUGAUAGUGAAUAAAUAAAUAAGAUGGAUAUGCAAUUAAAUUGUUUAAUUGAAAAAUGGUCAAGAUUAAUUAAUUAGUUAAUUAAUUAUACGAAAUGUUCGUAUUAGGCUUUUAAGUUGGUUUUGGGCUUCGAGGCCCAAAAGCGUUUUGGUCCACAAGGCCCAUUAUGUUUAAGUUGUAUGACAACUAAAACAAAAUGGGCAAAUUAGCCCAAUAACAAGGUAAGGCCGGCCAUAGGGUGAGGGGUUGCAAAAUUUGGAUUAAUUACAAGUUUGCCAUUCACUUGAAAUGAAGUAUAAAAUCAACUUUAUAGCUUUAUUUCUCAUUAGGGUUUUUCUUGGUGAAAUGAGGUGAAACACUUUCUCUCAUUUUCUCUAAAGAGGCCGGCCACUUAGAGGGGAUUUAGCUAGCAAUCUUUUCUUCUCUAAGUCAUCCAUUUUCAUCUUCACACUUCAUCCUUGGUGUGGAGACUUAGAGACAUCAAGCUUUUGAUGUUUUGGAGAACUAAUCCUCAAAUCCUCAAAGAAGAAAAGGAGCACUAAAAGGAGGAAAAUCACAAGGAAGAUCCAAGGAGCAUGGAGGUGACUUGAAGGCCCUCCACUUGGGUGAAUCCCUUGUGUAAACAAGGAUGAGCUUCAAGGGUAAAGAAUCUCUAAAUUCUUAAUUCUCUUUAAUAUUGUUAAAGAGUCUUUUGGUUCACCAUAUACUAGGCUUUGAAAGUCAUGGGUUUUAUGAAUUGUUUUUGAAUGCAUGCCUACUUUAAUGUGUUAAUAGUUUGCAUGUGUAUUCAAAUGUUCUUACUUGUUCUUAGCUAGGACAAAAUUUUUCCUUCAAAUUCUCCCUUUAGUGAUUAUACACCUUUAGGGCUUUCACAAACCAUGAGUGACACCUAGCAGUAUAUCAUGGCUACCCAAGUUAAUCAGAAGAGGUGGAGAACCUAUUUAAUUUGGGAUUACAAUGCAAUACGGUAUUUCUCUAAUACAAUACUCUUGACCACAUUGUUUGGUUUGAUAGUUUAUUCAUGUCUAGUAUCCAAUGUGAUUCUCUUACUUAUAUGAUUACCUUCAAUGUGAUUUGGAAAGAAUUCCUAACACUCAUUCAAACUCUGGUCAGAGACUCUUAAUCAUAUCAUAGAGAAUUCUCCCUCAAACGGUUUGAAGGUUAAAGAUCCCUUGUUGUGCAUUCACUUGCCUCCAUGGCUAAGUGGCUUAACCCUAACUCUGUCAUGGACACCCUCUGACGAAGUGACUUUGACAUUGUCAAAGAUCAAGGACCUAACCAUACGACAACUAUGAUGCCUCAGGUCAAAUGACUACUUUGCAUUAUGCCAACCAUGAGUUUUCAUAUGACAUGAGUAUGAGAACUCCUUGUUAAUCAAGUUCAGUGGACUCAUUCUUUAUUAAGCACCUACAUGCUUGUCUUGGUGUUAGUCACACCAAUGACUCGAGACCAGUCACUCUCUCUUAGAGAAGACAUAUCACGUAUUGAUCUUAACGGACUUUCAAUGCCCAAUUGGCAAUCCUAUGAUUAAGAACGUUUAGGAUAUGUAAAUGAAAGAGAAUAGUCUCAUGAAUCUAACUUCUUUAAAUCACAUUCUCCCUACAUAUUCCUUGGACUUAUCGUUUGAGCAUAUAACAUUUAUAUGAGACGACUUUAAACAAUAAUAUUUGCCCUUUUAUAUUAAACUAAAUUAGUUUAACAUGUGAAAUGUUCGUAAAGUAUCAUCAUAUGAUUGGCUUUAGGGCACAUUUCCAACAAGGCUAAGCUCACCUCAUCCCUUU